rnacentral:rRNA from 1 species
CGACUUGGAGGUUGUGCCCUUGAGGUGUGGCUUCCGGAGCUAACGCGUUAAGUCGACCGCCUGGGGAGUACGGCCGCAAGGUUAAAACUCAAAUGAAUUGACGGGGGCCCGCACAAGCGGUGGAGCAUGUGGUUUAAUUCGAUGCAACGCGAAGAACCUUACCUGGUCUUGACAUCCACGGAAGUUUUCAGAGAUGAGAAUGUGCCUUCGGGAACCGUGAGACAGGUGCUGCAUGGCUGUCGUCAGCUCGUGUUGUGAAAUGUUGGGUUAAGUCCCGCAACGAGCGCAACCCUUAUCCUUUGUUGCCAGCGGUCCGGCCGGGAACUCAAAGGAGACUGCCAGUGAUAAACUGGAGGAAGGUGGGGAUGACGUCAAGUCAUCAUGGCCCUUACGACCAGGGCUACACACGUGCUACAAUGGCGCAUACAAAGAGAAGCGACCUCGCGAGAGCAAGCGGACCUCAUAAAGUGCGUCGUAGUCCGGAUUGGAGUCUGCAACUCGACUCCAUGAAGUCGGAAUCGCUAGUAAUCGUGGAUCAGAAUGCCACGGUGAAUACGUUCCCGGGCCUUGUACACACC